GCGACGCCGCGUGGGGGAUGACGGCCUUCGGGUUGUAAACCUCUUUCGCCGGGGACGAAGCUUUUAUGACGGUACCUGGAGAAGAAGCACCGGCCAACUACGUGCCAGCAGCCGCGGUAAUCACGUAGGGUGCGAGCGUUGUCCGGAAUUAUUGGGCGUAAAGAGCUCGUAGGCGGUGUGUCGCGUCGGCCGUGAAAACUUGGGGCUUAACUCUGAGCGUGCGGUCGAUACGGG
rnacentral:rRNA from 1 species